ACGGGAGGCAGCAGUGGGGAAUAUUGCACAAUGGGGGAAACCCUGAUGCAGCAACGCCGCGUGAGUGAAGAAGUAUUUCGGUAUGUAAAGCUCUAUCAGCAGGGAAGAUAAUGACGGUACCUGACUAAGAAGCUCCGGCUAAAUACGUGCCAGCAGCCGCGGUAAUACGUAUGGAGCAAGCGUUAUCCGGAUUUACUGGGUGUAAAGGGUGCGUAGGUGGCAGGGCAAGUCAGAUGUGAAAGACCGGGGCUCAACUCCGGGGCUGCAUUUGAAACUGUCUUGCUGGAGUGCAGGAGAGGUAAGCGGAAUUCCUAGUGUAGCGGUGAAAUGCGUAGAUAUUAGGAGGAACACCGGUGGCGAAGGCGGCUUACUGGACUGAAACUGACACUGAGGCACGAAAGCGUGGGGAGCAAACAGGAUUAGAUACCCUGGUA
rnacentral:rRNA from 2 species